AGAGAGAGAGAGAGGUAUCAGCAAUGGAGGCGUUCGAGAAACUAAGAGAAAGCCUCUAUUAAUCAAUUUAAUGUUUAAUUCUAAUUCCAAUUCGUGGGUUUCGGUUUUUUUUUUAGUAUAGGUUUCUUGUGAUUGCUAUUCAAUUCGCCUAAACGUUGAAAAGAUUGUUUCCAAUUUUGUCAGAAACAACACUGAUCCCAAUUCUCAAGAAAUUCUCAAGAGGACAUUCAAGUUAUAGUCGUUAAGAGUUUAAUGUGGGUGUUGCUUUUUGCUCACGGUCAUGGAAUCUUGCACAGACGUGAAGCUGUGGCGACCGGGCAGGUUCUAUUCCGUCGUUUCUAUUGCAAGAAAUCGUUUGACUGCUUCAAUGUUAAGAAAUAUCAUGACCUCAAGACUGACUUGAACAGAACAGAAAGACAUGUAUUGAAAGAGAUGGGAUUUGUUUGUCAUGUUGAACAUCCUCAUAAAUUCAUAUCUAACUACCUUGCCAUUCUUGAAACACCUCCAGAACUGAGGCAGGAAGCUUGGAAUCUAGCAAAUGAUAGGCAUAGGGAAUGAGGCAGGAUGUAAUUCCUUACAAAGAUACACUUUCUGCAUUGACAAGGAUAGCACAUAAGGAAGGCAUUCGAGGAUUGUACAUGGAAAGGAGGCUGGACGAGAUAAGAUUUCAGCAAUACAGCCGAACCUUUAUUCAAUCAUAGAUCCUACAAGGUAUGUGACAUUUUUUACUAUUAUAACAUAAUGUGAUGCACUUCAGUGAAUGAAUAUGAUGACACGUAGGGUUAUGGAUAUCUUGUGGAUUUUUUAAUAAUGUAUGUCAAUAUCUGUGAC